rnacentral:rRNA from 1 species
UACAGAGGUCUCAAGCGUUGUUCGGAUUCAUUGGGCGUAAAGGGUGCGUAGGCGGCGCGGUAAGUCGGGUGUGAAAUCUCGGAGCUUAACUCCGAAACUGCAUUCGAUACUGCCGUGCUUGAGGACUGGAGAGGAGACUGGAAUUUACGGUGUAGCGGUGAAAUGCGUAGAUAUCGUAAGGAAGACCAGUGGCGAAGGCGGAUCUCUGGACAGUUCCUGACGCUGAGGCACGAAGGUCAGGGGAGCAAACGGG